GACGAACGCUGGCGGCGUGCCUAAUACAUGCAAGUCGAGCGGGGUUUAUGCAGUGGAGUCCUUCGGGAUGAAGCAGUAUAGACCUAGCGGCGGACGGGUGAGUAACGCGUGGGUAACCUGCCCUAAAGCCCGGGAUAACAGCGGGAAACCGCUGCUAAUACCGGAUACCUUUACCUUGGGGCAUCCUGGGGUAAAGAAAGAAUUUCGCUUUAGGAUGGGCCCGCGUCCCAUUAGCUAGUUGGUGAGGUAACGGCUCACCAAGGCGACGAUGGGUAGCCGGCCUGAGAGGGUGAACGGCCACACUGGGACUGAGACACGGCCCAGACUCCUACGGGAGGCAGCAGUAGGGAAUAUUGCGCAAUGGGCGAAAGCCUGACGCAGCGACGCCGCGUGAGCGAAGAAGGCCUUCGGGUCGUAAAGCUCUGUCCUCAGGGAAGAAGGAAGUGACGGUACCUGAGGAGGAAGCCCCGGCUAACUACGUG
rnacentral:rRNA from 1 species